AGAGUUUGAUCCUGGCUCAGGACGAACGCUGGCGGCGUGCCUAACACAUGCAAGUCGAACGGAGAGUUAGCAAUAACUCUUAGUGGCGAACGGGUGAGUAACGCGUAGACAACCUGCCUCUAAACUGGGGACAACACCGCGAAAGUGGUGCUAAUACCGAAUGUGGUAACUUGGCUGCAUGGCUGAGUUAAGAAAGAUGGCCUCUUAGCAAUGCUAUCGUUUAGAGAUGGGUCUGCGUCUGAUUAGCUAGUUGGUGAGGUAAUGGCUCACCAAGGCGACGAUCAGUAGCCGGUCUGAGAGGAUGAACGGCCACACUGGGACUGAGACACGGCCCAGACUCCUACGGGAGGCAGCAGUGGGGAAUCUUCCGCAAUGGACGAAAGUCUGACGGAGCAACGCCGCGUGAGUGAAGAAGGUCUUCGGAUUGUAAAGCUCUGUCGUUUGGGACGAACGUGGAUU
rnacentral:rRNA from 1 species